rnacentral:rRNA from 1 species
AGCACCACAACAGGUGGAGCCUGCGGUUUAAUCGGACUCAACGCCGGGAAACUCACCAGAUAAGACAGCUGAAUGAUAGUCGGGCCGAAGACUCUACUUGACUAGCUGAGAGGAGGUGCAUGGCCGUCGUCAGUUCGUACUGUGAAGCAUCCUGUUAAGUCAGGCAACGAGCGAGACCCACGCCAACAGUUGCCAGCUCGUCCUCCGGGAUGGUGGGGACACUGUUGGGACCGCCUCUGCUAAAGAGGAGGAAGGAAUGGGCAACGGUAGGUCAGCAUGCCCCGAAUUAUCCGGGCUACACGCGGGCUACAAUGGUCAGGACAAUGGGUAUCGACACCGAGAGGUGGAGGCAAUCUCCUAAACCUGUCCUUAGUUCGGAUUGUGGGCUGCAACUCGCCCACAUGAAGCUGGAAUCCGUAGUAAUCGCGUUUCAAAAUAGCGCGGUGAAUAUGUCCCUGCUCCUU